UACGUAUGGUGCAAGCGUUAUCCGGAUUUACUGGGUGUAAAGGGAGCGUAGGCGGCGCGUUAAGUCUGAUGUGAAAACCCGAGGCUCAACCACGGGAGUGCAUUGGAAACUGGCGGGCUGGAGUGCCGGAGAGGUAAGCGGAAUUCCUAGUGUAGCGGUGAAAUGCGUAGAUAUUAGGAGGAACGCCAGUGGCGAAGGCGGCUUACUGGACGGCAACUGACGCUGAGGCUCGAAAGCGUGGGGAGCAAACAGG
rnacentral:rRNA from 1 species